GCCGGGCACGGUGGCUUGUGCCUGUAAUCCAAGCGCCGGGGAGGCUGAGGCUGGCGGACGGCUUGAGCCCGGGGGUUCUGGGCUGCAGCGAGCUGUGCCGAGACGGAGCAGGUCAAAGCUCCCGUGCCGGUCAGUAGCGGGAUGGCGCCUGUGAACAGUCCCUGUAGCACAGCCUGGGCAAGAGAGCAGGACCCAGCCUCUU
rnacentral:SRP_RNA from 1 species